rnacentral:lncRNA from 1 species
UUGAUUAACUGGCUGCCAGAACUAAACCUCGAGGUCAGAAGACUUGUGGGUAACAACUGGAUUCCAGAACUCUGUCAGAGAGAGAUGAGUCCUUAAGAAUUGACUUAAGUGAUAUCUGUCAAUCUCAGAAGUUAUAUUCUUACAAUAAAUGUGAUGCUUUAUAAAAUACUGGAGCUACGAUUUCAUAUGCAAUUCAGUCAUCUGUGAAUGAACUUUUCUGCAAGUCUCCUUUCUUGUGCAUCUAGAUAAAAGGACAUUGAAAAAAUCAAGUUUUUAAAUAGUUUAAAUAUCCCUAAAUUCACCUGUUUCUACACUAGCCCCUGAGUUGUUAUAAAAGAUGAUUACUCUGUAUUGAAAUUGCCAGUUUUAUUGGAAAAAAUCAAAACUAGAAUAUUUUAAAAGCUUUUUGUUAUACUAGCUUUAAAAUAAAGUCAAUUGUGUUUUUAUGACUUUUUCUAAA